rfam:Salmo salar isolate Sally breed double haploid chromosome ssa19, whole genome shotgun sequence.
UGGCUCAGUUGGCAGAGCAUGGUGUUUGCAACACCAGGGUUGUGGGUUUGAUUCCCAC